rnacentral:rRNA from 1 species
UAGCCUUUAGCAAUACAAGUAUUAAAGGUCCUGCCUGCCCAGUGAAAAUUUUAAACGGCCGCGGUAUCCUAACCGUGCAAAGGUAGCGUAAUCACCUGUCUUCCAAAUAAAGACCAGUAUGAACGGCUAAAUGAGGACAAACCUGUCUCCUACAACCAAUCAGUGAAACUGAUCUCCCAGUACAAAAGCUGGAAUAAUAACACUAGACGAGAAGACCCUGUGGAGCUUAAAAUGCACCUAGUACAAACAAAUAACUAGUAUAAAUUUUAAGUUGGGGCGACUUCGGAAAAAAACAAAACUUCCGAGCACAGAACCACCAGUUCUAACCGAGGCAAACAAGCCAAAACAAAACUUGACCCAGUCCACACUGACCAACGAACCAAGUUACCCCAGGGAUAACAGCGCCAUCCUCUUCAAGAGCCCAUAUCGACAAGAGGGUUUACGACCUCGAUGUUGGAUCAGGGCACCCAAAUGGUGCAACCGCUAUUAAAGGUUCGUUUGUUCAACGAUUAACAGCC